rnacentral:rRNA from 1 species
GUUCCUUGGAAAAGGACAGCUGAGAGGGUGAGACUCCCGUCCGCCUGGUAGAGUGAGCCUUUGUCAAAGAGUCGAGUUGUUUGGGAUUGCAGCUCUAAUUUGGUGGUAAAUUCCAUCUAAAGCUAAAUAUUGGUGGGAGACCGAUAGCGUACAAGUACCGUGAGGGAAAGAUGCAAAGAACUUUGAAAAGAGAGUUAAAGAGUACCUGAAAUUGCUGAAACGGAAGCGAAGGAAACCAGUGUUUGUUUGUUCAUAUUUCCCUGACCACUUGUGGUUUGGGCGCUGUGGGCUUGCGUCGGUUUGCUUUGGUUAAUCCCUUUGGAAGAGCGCAGUCAGAGUUGAUGUCU